rnacentral:rRNA from 1 species
GACGAACGCUGGCGGCGUGCUUAACACAUGCAAGUCGAACGGAAAGGCCUUUUCGGAGGUACUCGAGUGGCGAACGGGUGAGUAACACGUGGGUGAUCUUCCCUGCACUCUGGGAUAAGCCUGGGAAACUGGGUCUAAUACCGGAUAGGACCGCACUUUAGUGUGUGUGGUGGAAAGUUUUUUCGGUGUAGGAUGAGCCCGCGGCCUAUCAGCUUGUUGGUGGGGUAAUGGCCUACCAAGGCGGCGACGGGUAGCCGGACUGAGAGGUUGGUCGGCCACAUUGGGACUGAGAUACGGCCCAGACUCCUACGGGAGGCAGCAGUGGGGAAUAUUGCACAAUGGGCGCAAGCCUGAUGCAGCGACGCCGCGUGGGGGAUGACGGCCUUCGGGUUGUAAACGCCUUUCGCCAGGGACGAAGCGUUUUGUGACGGUACCUGGAGAAGAAGCACCGGCUAACUACGUG